GAUGAACGCUGGCGGCGUGCCUAAUACAUGCAAGUAGAACGCUGAAGGAGGAGCUUGCUCUUCUGGAUGAGUUGCGAACGGGUGAGUAACGCGUAGGUAACCUGCCUGGUAGCGGGGGAUAACUAUUGGAAACGAUAGCUAAUACCGCAUGACAACAGUUAUUGCAUGAUAACUGUUUAAAAGGGGCAACUGCUCCACUACCAGAUGGACCUGCGUUGUAUUAGCUAGUUGGUGAGGUAACGGCUCACCAAGGCGACGAUACAUAGCCGACCUGAGAGGGGGAGCGGCCACACUGAGACUGAGACACGGCCCAGACGGCCACGGGAGGCAGCAGGAGGGAAACGUCGGCAAGGGACGGAAGUCUGACCGAGCAACGCCGCGGGAGGGAAGAAGGUUGUCGGAUCGUAAAGCUCGGUUGUAAGGGAAGAACGAGUGUGAGAGUGGAAAGUUCACACUGUGACGGUAUCUUACCAGAAAGGGACGGCUAACUACGUG
rnacentral:rRNA from 1 species